rnacentral:misc_RNA from 1 species
GAUUUUGUCAGAUGUUCAAAUUGAUUACUGCUACUUGCAAAUUAAAGGAUAUCAGUUUUGCUAGUGGAACUGUGAAAGAAGUGAACACAUUGCAAUGUGAAAAAAAAGUUAAAUCCAAAGGGUUUUAUUUUAUUUAUUAAUAUUUUAAUUAUUGAAUCAAAUCUGUAAAGAAGGGGAGCAUUGAGAAAGGCAACAUACAAAUUGUCAUCUUGUGACUGGUGUACUCCUUUCCUCUCUCUCUCUCUCUCU